AACGAACGCUGGCGGCAGGCCUAACACAUGCAAGUCGAGCGCGCCCUUCGGGGUGAGCGGCGGACGGGUGAGUAACGCGUGGGAACGUGCCCUUCUCUGCGGAAUAGCCUCGGGAAACUGAGAGUAAUACCGCAUACGCCCUUUGGGGGAAAGAUUUAUCGGAGAAGGAUCGGCCCGCGUUGGAUUAGGUAGUUGGUGGGGUAAUGGCCCACCAAGCCGACGAUCCGUAGCUGGUUUGAGAGGAUGAUCAGCCACACUGGGACUGAGACACGGCCCAGACUCCUACGGGAGGCAGCAGUGGGGAAUCUUAGACAAUGGGGGCAACCCUGAUCUAGCCAUGCCGCGUGAGUGAUGAAGGCCUUAGGGUUGUAAAGCUCUUUCAGCUGGGAAGAUAAUGACGGUACCAGCAGAAGAAGCCCCGGCUAACUCCGUG
rnacentral:rRNA from 1 species